UGGGGAAUUUUGCGCAAUGGGCGAAAGCCUGACGCAGCAACGCCGCGUGAGUGAUGAAGGCCUUCGGGUCGUAAAGCUCUGUCAGGGGGAAAGAACCACCAGGAGGCUAAUAUCCUUCUGGUCUGACGGUACCCUCAAAGGAAGCACCGGCUAACUCCGUGCCAGCAGCCGCGGUAAUACGGAGGGUGCGAGCGUUGUUCGGAAUUAUUGGGCGUAAAGCGCGUGUAGGCGGUCUGUUUAGUCUGGUGUGAAAGCCCUGGGCUCAACCCGGGAAGUGCAUUGGAUACUGGCAGACUUGAGUACGGGAGAGGAUAGUGGAAUUCCGAGUGUAGGGGUGAAAUCCGUAGAUAUUCGGAGGAACACCGGUGGCGAAGGCGGCUAUCUGGACCGAUACUGACGCUGAGACGCGAAAGCGUGGGGAGCAAACAGG
rnacentral:rRNA from 1 species